CCCAUUUCAGGUCCCUGUGGUGCCUUUUCCAGUCCCUCUGGGGGUCCCCAGCCCCCUUUCAGGUCCCUUUGGUCCCUGCGGUGUCCUCAAUUCCUUUUUGUGUCCCUUUGGCCUUAUUUUAAGUCCCUUUGCUCCCUCUGCCCCCAUUGGUGUGACGUUGGGUGACAUUGGAUGACACCAGGUGAUACUGAGCGAUGCCAGGUGACAUCAGGUGACCUUGGGUGACAUUGGGUAGCACCAGGAGAUGCUGGGUGACACCAGGUGAUGUUGGGUGAUGUUCUGCGACACCAGGUGCCACCGAUGCCAUCGAUCCCGCAGGGCACAGCUGGCAGAGGUGACACCGGGUGCCACCAGGUGCCACUGAUGCCAUCGAUGCCACAGGGCGCAGCGCGACAGCUGGCGGAGGUGACACUGGGUGACACCGGAUGUCACCAGGUGCCACCAAUGCCAUCGAUGCCAUCCCGCAGGGCGCGGCAGCUGGCGGAGGUGACACUGGGUGACACCGGAUGUCACCAGGUGCCACCAAUGCCAUCGAUGCCAUCCCGCAGGGCGCGGCGCGGCAGCUGGCGGAGGUGACACCGGAUGUCACCAGGUGCCACCAAUGCCAUCGAUGCCAUCCCGCAGGGCGCGGCGUGGCAGCUGGCGGAGGUGACACCGGAUGUCACCAGGUGCCACCAGUGCCAUCGAUGCCAUCCCGCAGGGCGCGGCGC
rnacentral:lncRNA from 1 species